UGUCCUUGGGUUAGUUCUAAGGAUCCUACUUUGUCAAUUUGUUCUCGACUGACAUCCGAAGUUUUUAGCCUAAGCCAAGACAUGUCUGUUUGUUUUUUCAAGAUUCCAUCAGGUCAUCGAGCUCACAAAGAUCCCCGACAUGGUCUUCUCAUACAAACUUAUUGAUGUAGAUUUUUCGAUAUCCCUUUUGACAUCAGGCAAGGACAGUCAAGCUGAAGACUUCGGUCUUAUCUUCGGAUUAAUUUCAAAGAUUUUAUUCAUAGAGGUCCUAACUUAUAUCA
rnacentral:lncRNA from 1 species